UGGGGAAUAUUGGACAAUGGGCGAAAGCCUGAUCCAGCCAUGCCGCGUGUGUGAAGAAGGUCUUCGGAUUGUAAAGCACUUUAAGUUGGGAGGAAGGGCAGUUACCUAAUACGUGAUUGUUUUGACGUUACCGACAGAAUAAGCACCGGCUAACUCUGUGCCAGCGGCCGCGGUAAUACAGAGGGUGCAAGCGUUAAUCGGAAUUACUGGGCGUAAAGCGCGCGUAGGUGGUUAGUUAAGUUGGAUGUGAAAUCCCCGGGCUCAACCUGGGAACUGCAUUCAAAACUGACUGACUAGAGUAUGGUAGAGGGUGGUGGAAUUUCCUGUGUAGCGGUGAAAUGCGUAGAUAUAGGAAGGAACACCAGUGGCGAAGGCGACCACCUGGACUGAUACUGACACUGAGUGCGAAAGCGUGGGGAGCAAACAGGAUUAGAUACCCUGGUAGUCCACGCCGUAAACGAUGUCAACUAGCCGUUGGGGAGCC
rnacentral:rRNA from 1 species